CAGUUUGAAGCUUCUUACUUCGUUCGGAAUAUUAGAGAAAGAAUUAGAGAAAAGCGAGGGAUUACAUGACUUGUGCCAAAGACUUCGUUUUACAGUUUUAGGAUAUAAACAUCCCAAUAUUGGAUUCACCUUGGAAAGGAAAAGGCUUGGUCGUGUUCUUAUUGUGUUUGAUGAUGUGACAAAUUUAGAACCAAUGGAAGAUUUUGACUACUUGGACUCUAAAGUCGAAUAAUCAUAACGACAAGGGAUGAACAAGUUCUAAAAGAAUGUGGAGCGAAUCCCAUACACUUAGUUAAGAUGGAAGAAUUAUCUAGUAAUGAAGCUUUUCAAGUUUUUAACCGAAAUGCUAGCCAUGAGCAUUCCCCAUUCAGUAUUAGUCCCAACACUGGUUACAAGCAUGACGUCGUUGCCAUCUGCAACCUUGUAGCCAGACAUCAGAAAUGGGUCCUUCGAGUCCUUGUGAAAAAUUUUGCUCUCUCUAGUCAUGCUGGAUUCAUCAAUGGAAAGUGAAUGACCAGAAAUAACAACUCCAUCAGUAGGGACCUGAUCACCAAUGUUGAGGGGCACAACAUCACCAACAACGAUAUCAUAUAUUGAGACAUCAAUUCUUCUACUGCCUCUAAUGACCUCCAAAUUUUCCGUAUUUGUUUACUGAAAGGAGCUGACAUGUUCGGAUCCUGAAAGGAGCUGACAUGUUCGGAUCCUGAAAGGAGCUGACAUGUUCGGAUCCUGAAAGGAGCGAGCUACACUUAAGUGAAACUUGCAGGUUUGUCAUGUUUCUCUUUACUAUAUAUUUGGGUGAAUCCAUGCCAUGCCCUGUCCUGUGCUCUGCCAUUUGAAGUGCUAUUAUUGCUUCAUGUUAAGCAUGCUUAUGGUGAAGGCAUAGCCUUCUUUUUUCUUUCAAAUAAAAAACUCAUUGGUGCAAAGCAUGAGGGAAUGCUAGACAUUUGAUAAUUUCUCCUCUGACAAAUUGAUCAUCCCAUGCAUAUUGUUUGCACAUUUGAUCACACAAAUUGCAUUGUAUCAUAAAUAGCUGAUCUUUUUAUGAAUUAUUCAUUCAAUUCCUGAAUUUUGGAAUUGCCUCUUUCUGAUGCUGGUCAGUUUGCAGCCCUCCCCGAUGACUGAAAAGAAAGUCAAAAACUGCAAAAACACGCCCAACCUUUCAUCUUAGAAGGAGAUGUUCAUUACUCUGUAGAAGGAGCUAACCAAGUAAUGAAAGAAGUUCAUGCUGGCCAACAAUGGAAGACAAUGCGACUUGCUUUGUUCAGAAUUGCCAAAUUUACAGUGAUCAUUUCAGUCUGGCUUGAUCUCCAGUGCGCAUUCUAAUGAUAAGCUUUUAGCUUAGCAUGUGGACAUAUUCUGAUGGCUGGCAUUCUGAAAUCACUGAUUUUCUUCCCUGGAUUACGGAUUAUAUCACCGAACUAUUUAAUUAGAUAUGUUAGAUGAAGGCUACCGCUAUGUAAUCUUUUACUGCCGGAUGCUUUCUGUGUGGUACUUCAACAUAGUUACUAUGAAAUGUUGCAAGCGUCAUGUGUGGUUUUUUGGGAUAUGAAAUGAUGUUGAUUGUUGUUUCUACUCUUGUAAGCUGCUAUCAACUGGGUAUUGUUUUCUAUGUGAAACACCGGUUUGUUUA